AUUGAACGCUGGCGGCAGGCCUAACACAUGCAAGUCGAACGAGUGGCGGACGGGUGAGUAAUGUCUGGGAAACUGCCUGAUGGAGGGGGAUAACUACUGGAAACGGUAGCUAAUACCGCAUACCAUCAGAUGUGCCCAGAUGGGAUGAGAUUGUUGGUGGGGUAACGGCUCACCACGGCGCCGAUCCCUAGCUGGUCUGAGAGGGAGACCAGCCACACGGGAACUUGAGCACGGUCCAAACUCCUAAGGGAGGCAACAGGGGGGAAUAUUGCACAAUGGGCGAAAGCCUGAUGCAGCCAUGCCGCGUGUAUGAAGAAGGCCUUCGGGUUGUAAAGUACUUUCAGCGGGGAGGCGUUACCCGCAGAAGAAGCACCGGCUAACUCCGUGCCAGCAGCCGCGGUAAUAC
rnacentral:rRNA from 1 species